UACGUAGGGUGCAAGCGUUAAUCGGAAUUACUGGGCGUAAAGCGUGCGCAGGCGGUUAUGUAAGACAGAUGUGAAAUGCCCGGGCUUAACCUGGGAACUGCAUUUGUGACUGCAUGGCUAGAGUUUGGCAGAGGGGGGUAGAAUUCCACGUGUAGCAGUGAAAUGCGUAGAUAUGUGGAGGAACACCGAUGGCGAAGGCAGCCCCCUGGGUCAAGACUGACGCUCAUGCACGAAAGCGUGGUGAGCAAACAGG
rnacentral:rRNA from 1 species